rnacentral:rRNA from 1 species
CCUACGGGCGGCUGCAGUGGGGAAUAUUGGACAAUGGGGGCAACCCUGAUCCAGCCAUGCCGCGUGUGUGAAGAAGGCCCUCGGGUUGUAAAGCACUUUCAGUGAGGAAGAACGCCUGGUGGUUAAUACCCAUCAGGAAAGACAUCACUCACAGAAGAAGCACCGGCUAACUCCGUGCCAGCAGCCGCGGUAAUACGGAGGGUGCGAGCGUUAAUCGGAAUUACUGGGCGUAAAGCGCGCGUAGGUGGCUUGAUAAGCCGGUUGUGAAAGCCCCGGGCUCAACCUGGGAACGGCAUCCGGAACUGUCAAGCUAGAGUGCAGGAGAGGAAGGUAGAAUUCCCGGUGUAGCGGUUAAAUGCGUAGAGAUCGGGAGGAAUACCAGUGGCGAAGGCGGCCUUCUGGACUGACACUGACACUGAGGUGCGAAAGCGUGGGUAGCAAACAGGAUUAGAUACCCUAGUAGUC